rnacentral:lncRNA from 1 species
GUGGGUGUGUGGGUGUGUGGGUGGCAAGGGGUGCGCUCCUUCCUCCUCCCACUCUAUCUCUUUCCCCUCCCCUUCCCCCGCCCUUCGGUGUGUAAGAACUAGCGAGCAAGAUUUGGCUUGCGGUGGUGGUGGUGGGGGCCCGGCGCGCCUGCGCAGGAAACAGCUGUCACCCUUUGCGGAACAACAAGUCAUACAAACCUCCCCCCUCCCCCCUGAGCCGGUAGGCGACCUUCCUCACUCCUCUUCCUUCUCCUCCUCGGGGGUCCCGGCCCCUCCCCCACCUCUCCCGCCGUGCCCGCGCGCCCAGUUUCAUCGGUGCAUACUUUUACAUUCCACUGGUGGUGUUGUAUGGCUUCAAGACAUGGAACACAACAGUCUCCGAAGAACUGGAAGUGAAUAUCACACAAAGGGCAAUGGAGAGGUGCAUGGUGGGUGUGAACAGGCUGCAACAUAUAACAAAUGGGGAACUUUGAAGAAGACCAGAAAUAAAAGGUUUCAUCAUGAAAUGUAUGGUAGAAAAAGAUGGGCUGGUCAUGUGUUGAGAGGAAGGUAUGAAAGGUAGACAGC